rnacentral:misc_RNA from 1 species
UCCACAAGCGAAAUGGUGGAAACUAUUGGUGGAAAGAUUCAUGCCUUCAUUGAAAGUGUCAAGUAUGGCUGUGUCGUGUUAUCGUGUAUGUUCGUGAAUCGUGAUAACGGUGAAUCGUGAUAACGGUAUAACUAACUGAUAACUAAAUUUACAUGAGUUAACAUAGUUAUGCUUUCCAACUGUAGCACUUGACUUGAUCAAGCAGUUAACUGUCGAGUUUGCCUUGGAGGAUGUGACGUCUUUUGCUUCUGCCAGUCAUAUUACUUCUAAUCAUUUCAAGCAACAUGUUAUACCCAUCAUACCUCCACAUGAAAGGACUGCUCUUACAUCCCACGAAAGACUGGCUUCUGCCAGUCAUAUUACUUCUAAUCAUUUCAAGCAACAUGUUAUACCCAUCAUACUCCACAUGAAAGGACUGCUCUUACAUCCCACGAAAGACUCCCCAGUUGGAGUGAACAAAACUCGAUCUAGGAAAUGAUAUCCAAUCAAUGAGGACAUCUCAAAGGAACAGAGAUUCAGGAUUAUAUUCAGUAUUAUAUCAUGCUCGCGAUCAGUAUGCUGUCGACCUUGAAGUUACUUAUAACAGCUUGGGAGUCGGUGGAACAAAAAUAAGAACGACAGCUACGUAGCCCCACGUGAGGUUAUGCCUGUCAAGUAAUCAAUGUCAUUUAAGCUCGACUCUAUCUUGGCCUUUUUCUUUUGACUUACGGUCGACAAUCAAAAAGGCGUGCCUUGUUUUUCGGAAAAAAUAGUAUGGACAGCGUGCCCUGGUCAGUUAAUUGAGCCUGGCGUCAUCCAACACUCGAGGGCAGCAGAAGGACGAUCCACAGCUCCCCGGCCGAAUUGCACUGGAGCGAGUCGACGAAGUAGCCAGCAUCCUUCUGAACUCAAUUCAAAGUCUUUUCGAUGUCCAACUUUGCUAAUGGCGGGUCCGCGAUUGCUGUCGCUUCAUGAUUAGAAUCAAACUUGUGGUUUCAAGGCGACCGAAAAGAAAUAACACUGGGCGGUGUUAAGCGAUAGAUGUUUUUUUUUUCGUAACAACUUCUGGAGGCCUAUUGCAUUCUUCAAAGCCUUCUUAUGAUUUCUGUCAAAUCAAGAAGGGGGACCAUCGGCAUUCAGCUUUCUACGUUGGAAAUAUGUUCCGCCAGUUUUCUGUUUCUUCCGGCUCUCUACUACGGAUGUUUUUAUUCGAUGCUGGCGGUCAAUUCUUUCAACCCGGAACUUUCGUCGUUUAAUAACUCAACAUUGUCGUGGCGCAUUCACCCCGGGCAAGUUUGGAUGGCCAUUUUCUCGUCAAUGAUGCGUUUUAGAACAUACAAAUCGUGUUGAUAUUUUGCGAUGCUGUGUAGAUGAGUCAAAUGAAUACAUGUGUAUUUACGA